CCUACAGCUUUAUAGGGACUGAAAUCUCUCAAAAAUUAACAGGAGGUAUUCAAAGCUAAGUGGCCAAGUGAAGAUAAACAUUCUCUCUCUGACUCUCUCUUGUUUCUUUUUGACAGGAGGUGGAAAGGACAGAUUUUGUCAGAGUCGAUGAGAACAAGAAACUGCUGAACUUCCUUMUUUGGGACAACUCAGCUUUUCUACUGUGAAUCCCCAAUUAAGAUUGAAGAAAGUGUUGCGGAUUUGUCAUCCUAUUAAAUCUGUAUCACUACCGUCUUUCAUCCUGCUCUCAGC
rnacentral:lncRNA from 1 species